CAGUAGCCGCGGUAAUACGUAGGGUGCAAGCGUUAAUUGGAAUUACUGGGCGUAAAGCGCGCGUAGGUGGUUUGUUAAGUCUGCUGUGAAAUCCCCGGGCUCAACCUGGGAAUGGCAGUGGAUACUGGCAAGCUAGAGUGUGGUAGAGGAUAGUGGAAUUUCCGGUGUAGCAGUGAAAUGCGUAGAGAUCGGAAGGAACAUCUGUGGCGAAGGCGACUAUCUGGGCCAACACUGACACUGAGGCACGAAAGCGUGGGGAGCAAACAGGAUUAGAUACCCGGUAGUCCCUGUCUCUUAUACA
rnacentral:rRNA from 1 species